AUCAUUCUUUUCAUAAAUUCCUGGCAGAUAAACUCACCAGCACGUUAAGAACCGUGUCAGCCAGAAAUUAACUGCCCUGCGCUGUUUUCCCUUAGACCCUUUUCCUUCUCGGACUCACGAGCUGCAUGCACCUCUUCCAGGGGCUUUAUGAGUUUGCUCUUUCAUAAAACACAUCGUUACACUCAAUGAAGACAGAAAGGAUGGAUUAUGAAUCUUUUAAACUUGUUCGUGUAUUUUACUGGAAAAAAAAUUACCGUUUUGUGCCUGUACGACCUGGAGGAUAAUAUCAUGUUCACAGACAUUUAAUUCAAGCCAGGAUCAAUGGAUGAACAGAAAGAGAGAGCACUUGACGUUCCUACCCCACCUUAAUGUUACUUAAACAACAGGUGGCUCAAAUUCUGGAUCCUCUGGUGCUUCAGUGAAGACAAUGCUUACCUUGUAUUAUGGCCAAGAGAAUGACAAUCACGAAGAAGAAGAAGGUGAUGUCAAAGAUGAUUCGAUAGAUCUCAUAUUCAUCGCCUGCUGGGUCUUCGAUUUCAUCACCGAUCCCUCCUCCAGCACGUACCCCAACAUACAUGUGGAACAUAUAGCACUAGAAAGGAGAGAAAUGGUCACUGCUUGAGGAACAUUGCAAAGCUAAGAUUCUCCCUCUAGUUCCUAAUCCUCACUCUGGAAAUGACAUGCACAGCUGGAGACAAGACCAUGGAAUGACGCUAAAUUACCAAAGUGCAGGAACCUCAGGAUACUCUGGGGACCUCAGGAAGAGGAAUUCCAUCCAAAUCCACAGAGACACUUCUUUACUGUCAGUGUUGGAUUCAGCUGCCUCCAUCUUUUGUAACUCCCCUAAACAGUCCCCAACUGACCAAUUUUGACCCGAGUAGGUAGGGACAACUCUAUGCCCUAUUCAGCAGGAAGAUGUUACAGAAGAUGAGACCUUCCACCUUCAAGAACCUUAAAGAUUUAAGCUACCUACUUUCCUGUUGUAUGGAUUUGCCAUAAAUGACUUAAUCAGGACUCUAUUGAUAAUUGUGGUAGCAGCAAGUAUCCUUGGACAUAAAGGAGCAUAUUCGUAAAUAAACAUUUACAUCACUACUAGUAGUAGAACUGACAAGGAAAAGGGUAAGUACAAUUAAAAAUGUGAGAAUGACAUUGAAAAAUUUCUCUAAAGUCAUUGUAUUGAUUUAAAUUCCCAACAAGUGUUAAUGAAAGUGCCAGUUUUCCCAUCAAGAUCACAACUGUGGGUAUUAACAGACUUUAAUAUUUUGCAAACCUGAUAGGUAAAAAGGGGCAGCCAGUUGUUCUGAUUCACAUUUCUUUAAUUACAAUAGAUGGUAAGCAUUUUCCCAAUUUAUAAGCUGAAUGAAUUUUACCAUGAGUUGUCUAGACAUAGUCUGUUCAUUUUUCUAUUGGCUUAUUUCCUAGUGAUGUAAUAAGGACUCAGUAAAUUAAGGACACUGGCCCUUUGUUAUAGUGUUGAGUAUAUUUUUCUCAGUGUCUCAUUUGUCUCUAAUAUUUUGCUUAUAGUUGAUCCUUUUUAAAGUAAGUUUUUAGGCUUCCAUGCAUCUCAGGUUUUAUGUCAUACUCAGAAAUACCAUUUUCCACUUAAAAAUUGUUAUUUUUGGGGCGCCUGGGUGGCUCAGUGGGUUAGGCCGCUGCCUUCGGCUCAGGUCAUGAUCUUGGGGUCCUGGGAUCGAGUCCCGCAUCGGGCUCUCUGCUCAGCAGGGAGCCUGCUUCCCUCUCUCUUUCUGCCUGCCUCUCCAUCUACUUGUGAUUUC